rnacentral:rRNA from 1 species
ACGCUCGACACCUACUGGAGGCAGCAGUUGGGAAUAUUGGACAAUGGAGGAAACUCUGAUCCAGUGACGCCGCGUGAAGGAAGAAGGUCUUCGGAUUGUAAACUUAUUUUGUCAGGGAAGAAAAAAUGACUGUACCUGAAGAAAAAGCACCGGCUAACUACGUGCUAGCAGCCGCGGUAAUCUGAGCGGGCUGGCAAGGC